GAUGAACGCUAGCGGCAGGCCUAAUACAUGCAAGUCGAACGCUCAGUAGCAAUACUGGGAGUGGCGCACGGGUGCGUAACGCGUACACAAUCUACCUCUAAGCGGGGGACACCUCCUGGAAACGGGGAUUAAUACCGCAUAAUAUGCCGAAGUCGCAUGACUUUGGUAUUAAAGCAGCAAUGCACUUAGAGAUGAGUGUGCGUCCCAUUAGGUAGUUGGUGAGGUAACGGCUCACCAAGCCUAUGAUGGGUAGCCGGUCUGAGAGGAUGGUCGGCCACACGGGCACUGAGACACGGGCCCGACUCCUACGGGAGGCAGCAGUAAGGAAUAUUGGUCAAUGGUGGAAACACUGAACCAGCCAUGCCGCGUGGAGGAUAAGGUCCUACGGAUUGU
rnacentral:rRNA from 1 species